rnacentral:lncRNA from 13 species
CUGUUCCGUCAAGGGGUCUGAAUACUUUCUGAAUGUACUGGACAAUAUGUCAAUAUAUAUAUGGUAAUGUUUUCAAUUUGAUAAGAGGGUAUUUAUUAGACUCAGUAGUAGCAUGUUUUGAACCAAGACAGAGCACAGUGAGUGAGCAGUGACAACCGAGUGAGGGAUCAUUAGCUUUGAUACCUUGUGGUAGCUAGUGGUGGUAGCUUCGAUACAGUGUAUUAACGUGGUUUAGUCUGUGUGUGUGUGUGUGUGUGUGUGUGUGUGUUCGAAUAAUGGGGUUAUGAUGUGUUCACUUUGAUGCUUUAGUAAGUGUGAAGCAGUGCCUGGAGGUUAAUGCCAACUGUGUGGUGUGUGUAGUGACAGUGUGUUUUACACUCCAGGCAUGUGUGUGUGUGUGUGUGUGUGUGUGUGUGUGUGUGUGUGUGUGUGUGUGUUGUGCCGGCUUGUUUGUUUGUCAUGAGAGUGACACACCAUGAUGCUGAUAAUGUCUCCAGGGUUGAACCUUCCUCUCUGUUGUAUCUGCAGUCUAUCCACUAGGUUUGGUUAAUGACUCCAGGGUUGAACCUUCCUCUCUGUUGUAUCUGCAGUCUAUCCACUAGGUUUGGUUAAUGACUCCAGGGUUGAACCUUCCUCUGUUUUAUCUGCAGUCUAUCCACUAGGUUUGGUUAAUGACUCCAGGGUUGAACCUUCCUCUGUUUUNNNNNNNNNNGUUAGUCUACACCUGUUGUUUACAAAGCAUUUCAUAGUUAGUCUACACCUGUUGUUUACAAAGCAUUUCACUGUUAGUCUACACCUGUUGUUUACAAAGCAUUUCAUAGUUAGUCUACACCUGUUGUUUACAAAGCAUUUCAUAGUUAGUCUACACCUGUUGUUUACAAAGCAUUUCACUGUUAGUCUACACCUGUUGUUUACAAAGCAUUUCAUAGUUAGUCUACACCUGUUGUUUACAAAGCAUUUCACUGUUAGUCUACACCUGUUGUUUACAAAGCAUUUCACUGUUAGUCUACACCUGUUGUUUACAAAGCAUUUCAUAGUUAGUCUACACCUGUUGUUUACAAAGCAUUUCAUAGUUAGUCUACACCUGUUGUUUACAAAGCAUUUCACUGUUAGUCUACACCUGUUGUUUACAAAGCAUUUCAUAGUUAGUCUACACCUGUUGUUUAUUGAAGCAUAUGAGAAAUCCAAUUUGAUGUGAUACAGGAGGACUUUGGACAACAGCGUAGAGCUGACGACUCUACAGUACACCAAACCCAAUUCAUUUCAUUAUAUACUGCUGUUUGCAAUACAGUUGAAAUGAAACUGGCCUUAAUUGACCUCAACAGUCAUAACCUCUGACAUUUACUGUAUGCACUUUAAUACCUCGGGAGGCUGGCGGGACGUGUCUAUCCAGGACAUUCUAACGAUUUUUUGCUUUCGGUUUGUUGCUUUAGAUUGUUGCUCUAUCUCCUCUAGUGGUAACAGUCAGAGCUAUACUCUGUGGCUACUUAAGGCUUUUGAUGAAUGUAACAUGAGCCUGCAUCCACAAAGAAUCUCCAGAGUAUGAGUGCUGAUCUAGGAUCUGUCUAUAUAGUCUCAUUCGUUAAGAUUUAAAAAAUGGCAAACCUGAUCCUAGAUCCGCACUCCUACUCUGAGAUGCUUUGUGGAUAUGGGCCCUGAUCCUAGAUCUGUGUCUUGGAAUAAAUUAGAAUUUGUGUGAAGUUAAAGCUGAUCCUAGAGCUCUGUCUAUGAGUAACGUGAAAUUGGCAUUGCGUGAGAAGGAACUAAAGUAAAUUAAAUCUUAUUUUGAUCAAUUCCUGUUGUUGCAGGAACUGAAAACUUGCAGUUUAUUCAAGGUUUAAAAAGAUUCUCAAAUUGGUAAUUUAUGUUUUAACAUUUCUGAUUUGAUUUCCCCUAAAUAAAAAUAUACCUACCCCUAGCAAAAUAUCCAUUAAUUAUAAGCCUCACAAUAAAUCAGAUUUCCUGUUGCUGCGGGAUUAUUUUCCUGCUAUGAGAAACUGAUAAAAUUAUUAUCUGGAUACUUAUUUAAAUACAAAUGCAAGAAACAAAACUCUUGAUACAAACUACAAGUCUAUUCAAUAAAAUGUAAAAACAAUCACACUGUCUGUUCUGACACAUUUAAUUGUCAUCUCUGACUCUCACUCUCUUUUGGCAUAUGACUCAUUGAUUCAUUCAUCUAUUUUAAAGAAUACAUCAUGUCUUAAUCUUAGCAUUGCCAUCUCUCUCCCCUGUGUUGUCCAUACUUCUAGCUGUCUCACACGCCUCACGCCAAGCCUAGCUCUUUUUUAGUGUCAGUGAAUGUUUAUUAAGAAGGUGUCUGGUCUGAAAAACCAAAAGAAAAACAGGACGGGAGGUCAGUGACAGACAGCCACCUCAUGAGUACACUACUCACCAUGCAUGACCACAAGGCUGAUCGAUAAUCAAUAACAUGCUAUCACGUGUGUGUCUCAUGUCAUCUCCCGCCUCACAUCUCGUGUGACACAUGAUUUUACUGUGUGUCUUCCUCAUAUUCAGUCCAAAGUUGGAGACUUUAUCCUUUUAUGACGCUUAUAUCUUCUUGUCUAGUCACAUAACGACAGAGCUAUAGAGGGAAAAGGGACAGACGGACGUAGGGAGUUAAACUUUAAAAGUUUGAGAGAGAGAGAGAGAGAGAGAGAGAGAGAGAGAGAGAGAGAGAGAGAGAGAGAGAGNNNNNNNNNNGACUCCAGGGUUGAACCUUCCUCUCUGUUGUAUCUGCAGUCUAUCCACUAGGUUUGGUUAAUGACUCCAGGGUUGAACCUUCCUCUCUGUUGUAUCUGCAGUCUAUCCACUAGGUUUGGUUAAUGACUCCAGGGUUGAACCUUCCUCUGUUGUAUCUGCAGUCUAUCCACUAGGUUUGAUAAUGUGCUGCAUGUUGCUGUUGUGACUGUUUUUUUUGUUUAAUAAACAAGAAGAAGGAAAAACCCCAUCUGCUUGGUCUCUGAUCAAUGUGUCACAGGCUGUUUACCAAAUCUACUGUGUGUGUUAGAGGCUGGCCUCUUGGAAUGGCAUGCUGGUUAUACUCUGAAUAACAGGCUGAUGGUCAGAAUAAUCUGGUUAUCCCUUCCCAAGGCUGAUCAGGCUGAGUAAAGCAGGCCAGGCACACUGCCGUCUGAUCACACACGCCUAGAGACGUCAGGAAACACCGUAUAGACUUGGAGUCAGUCGACACCAUGACAACUGGAACACAGUGGGAGACGACAGUGUUCUAAUCGUUCCACUGUCUAUUGAAACCAGGCUUGUGGUCAAUUUGAAUUAAAGACAGUCAAUUCAGUGAAGUUGAUUUAUAUCUAAAAUUUAAACGAAAUAAAUGUAAAAAAAAAAAUAGCUUUUUACUUUUCAGUUCAUUGCGAAUUCAUUCAAAAUAGUUACCCUUUUUUCCAAUUAUUGGAUUGGAAUUUCAAUUUACUUCCUGACUUGACUGCCAUCAAUUCAAAUUGCCCCCAACCCUGAACGAAAUGGUGUCACAGUCCACUACAGCUCCUGCACUGUGUGUAGGCUCAGUACAAUGCUUACUAUUGGACAACUGGAAGUUCUACCAACACAUUGACUGUCGCUCUUAGAAAACAUUGGACCACAACUACUGAACCCCCGCCCUCCUUUCGGCAAAUCUGAUUACGACUCCAUUUCGCGCCUCCCUUCCCUUCCUAUGGGCAGAAACUCACAGGAAGUACCCAUGUUACGCUGGUCUGACCAAUCGGAAUCCAUCAAGAUUGUUUUGAUCACUCGGACUGGGAUAUGUUCCCGGGUGGCCUCUGAGAAUAACAUUGACGAAUACACAGAUGGGUGACUGAGUUUAUCAGGAAAUGUAUAGGAGAUGUUGUACCCACUGUGACAACUGAUUGCCCGCUACAAUGUUUUCAGGAGAGACAGGAUUGAAGGAAGAGGAGGGAGGGGGUGUGAUGAUCUACAUUAAAGAACAUAUCCGAUGUAAACUAAUUGAGUGGUCAUGUGAUAAUGAACUAGAAUGUAUUGGCCUGAACGUUACACUGUCUCCCCAAGUGUCUUUUACCCUUAUUGGAAUGUACAGGCCACCUUCCACCAAAAGUGUGUUUUUUGAUCAGUUUAAUAACAUGCUUAGGGAAUGUGAUUUUGGGAAAGAGGUCAUCUUAAAUGGGAGAUUUUAAUAUGAAUUAUGAAGACAAGUCUUGUUUGAAAACCCUCAAACGGAUCACUAAUACCUUUGACCAUACACAGCUAGUUAAAGGGCCAACCAGGGUGACUUGGUGCUCUAAAACACAGACUGUUUUGGGUGUUCAGUAAUAAACCAGAGA